UUUGAUCCUGGGUUCAGGACGAACGCUGGCGGCCGUGCUUAACACAUGCAAGUCGAACGAGAAUUUUUUUAACAGAAGCCUUCGGGGGAAAGAUUAAAAAAGGAAAGUGGCGAACGGGUGAGUAACGCGUGAGCAACCUACCUUACACAACGGGAUAGCCGUGGGAAACCGCGAUUAAUACCGUAUGAAACUAUAGAAACGAGUGUUUUCGUAGUUAAAGAUUUUAUCGGUGUAAGAUGGGCUCGCGUCUGAUUAGCUAGUUGGUGGGAUAAAAGCUCACCAAGGCAAUGAUCAGUAGCCGGCCUGAGAGGGUGAUCGGCCACAUUGGGACUGAGACACGGCCCAAACUCCUACGGGAGGCAGCAGUGGGGAAUAUUGCACAAUGGAGGGAACUCUGAUGCAGCGACGCCGCGUGAGCGAAGAAGGAAUUCGUUUCGUAAAGCUCUGUCCUAUGGGAAGAUAAUGACGGUACCAUAGAAGAAAGCCCCGGCUAACUACGUGCCAGCAGCUGCGGUAAUACGUAGGGGGCGAGCGUUGUCCGGAAUUAUUGGGCGUAAAGGGUUCGUAGGCGGUAAUACAUGUCAGAUGUGAAAUCUUGUGGCUUAACCACAUCAAGCAUCUGAAACUGUAUAACUUGAGUGGAGGAGAGGUAAGUGGAAUUCCUAGUGUAGCGGUGAAAUGCGUAGAUAUUAGGAAGGAUACCAGUAGCGAAGGCGACUUACUGGCCUCUAACUGACGCUGAUGAACGAAAGCGUGGGUAGCAAACAGGAUUAGAUACCCUGGUAGUCCACGCCGUAAACGAUGAGUGCUAGGUGUCGGGAGUCAAAUCUCGGUGCCGUAGUAACGCAA
rnacentral:rRNA from 1 species